rfam:Angiostrongylus costaricensis strain Costa Rica genome assembly, scaffold: ACOC_scaffold0000674
CCAACGGCCCUCUUUAGGGCCACAACUGAAAGGUUUUGGAUACAUU